UAGCCCAAACCAAGAGGCUUGCCUCUUGGGGUUGUAGGACAUUCUAUACGGAGUUACAAAGGAACGAGGUAGACGAAGCGACCUGGAAAGGUCCGUCGUAGAGGGUAACAACCCCGUAGUCGAAACUUCGUUCUCUCUUGAAUGUAUCCUGAGUACGGCGGAACACGUGAAAUUCCGUCGGAAUCUGGGAGGACCAUCUCCCAAGGCUAAAUACUCCCUAGUGAUCGAUAGUGAACCAGUACCGU
rnacentral:rRNA from 3 species